rnacentral:rRNA from 1 species
GACGAACGCUGGCGGCGUGCUUAACACAUGCAAGUCGAGCGGUAAGGCCCUUUCGGGGGUACACGAGCGGCGAACGGGUGAGUAACACGUGGGUGACCUGCCCUCAGCUCUGGGAUAAGCCUGGGAAACCGGGUCUAAUACUGGAUAUGACUCCAUGACGCAUGUUGUGGGGUGGAAAGCCUUGUGCGGCUGAGGAUGGGCCCGCGGCCUAUCAGCUUGUUGGUGGGGUGANGGCCUACCAAGGCGACGACGGGUAGCCGGCCUGAGAGGGCGACCGGCCACACUGGGACUGAGACACGGCCCAGACUCCUACGGGAGGCAG